GAUGAAGAACGUAGCGAAAUGCGAUACGUAGUGUGAAUUGCAGAAUUCAGUGAAUCAUCGAAUCUUUGAACGCACAUUGCACCUCUCGGUAUUCCGGGAGGUAUGCCUGUUCGAGCGUCAUUUGUGCCCUCAAGCUCUGCUUGGUGUUGGGUGUUUGUUCCGCCUCUGUGUGUGAACUCGCCUCAAAACAAUUGGCAGCCGGCGUACUUGUUUCGGAGCGCAGCACAUUUUGCGAUCCAGAUCAACGUACAGCGGCAUCCAAGAAGCCUUAUUUAACGCUCUUGACCUCGGAUCAGGUAGGGAUACCCGCUGAACUUAAGCAUAUCAAUAAGCGGAGGA
rnacentral:misc_RNA from 1 species